AGGGGCAUAAUUUAAUGGUAGAAUGACAGUCUCCAAAACUGUUUGUGCGAGUUCAACUCUUGCUGCCCCUGCCA
rnacentral:tRNA from 1 species